ACAAACGGCGCCAAAUGUUGAUGCACAAAAUCGGAAGUCUUGGAACAACGUAAAUCCAACCGUGAAUCUGCAAGAAAGUAAAUAAUACAAGAUGUAUCGUGGUUCACCCCAAGGUUUGGGCUACGUCCACACUGAUUAUUGUAUUUCUUUGAGAUGUUGAAGAGGGAGAGAGAGCUUCUCUGUUAUCCCAUGGGAUGAGAGCUUUGAGAGGAUGAGGGGGCUUAAGAAAUGGCCUCCCCCAAUGAGGAGAGUGAGGAAUCCUUUUAUAGAAUAAGGGCUCCUCACUUAUUACAUAUUUGCCCCUUCCUUUAUUACAUAAUUACAUUUGAGUCCCCCGAGUAUUUAUACAAGGUCUAAAUACGGAGGCCCUAAGUAUGGUAUAAACAACAUGAAAUGUCAACAUAUGAGUACAUGUUCUCUUCUUGAUGCAAUGCAUAUACAUGGGUGGAUUGGCCCGUGUAGAUAUCUCACAAAGAAGGAAUUCAUGUAUUAGAGAUGAGAUCAACAUAGGUCGAGAAGAGUGGUCACACAAAUGGUCAAAUUAUUUAGAAGACUUUAAUGAUGUGUUUGCAUGAGCUAAUUUAAAUUUCUAAAAACUUAGGCUAUAUGUAUUAAGACUGCACCACCAAGUGAAUAAAAUGUAAAGGUAUUGUAUUCACAUACUCUUUAACUUUGGCUAUCUGUAAUUCUUUUGAGCAAAUUUUCAUACGUGUGUCAAAAUGAUAGAAAAGGUUUGAGUUUUUUUAUGAUGGAAUUCCAAGACUGCCAUGUUAUGGACUUCCAAGAGAUUAAAAGCAUAAAAGUAAAAAAAAAGGCAUUUCAGAGAUGAAGCAUCAGGCCUCAGCAUCGCAAUAUUCUAAUUGGGUUUCUACUGCAGUUUUAUUUUAAUUUUGUUUUGGUUUUGGAUUGCUUUGCGAUAUUUGCGGUUUCCGAUUGACUCUCUUGGAUUGUUUUUUGUGACUUUUACAGUUUUACUUUU
rnacentral:lncRNA from 1 species